AUGGUGGAGGCAAUGUGAUGGUCUGGGGGUGCUUUGAUGAUGGUGAAGUGGGAGAUUUGUACAGGGUAAAAGGGAUCUUGAAGAAGGAAUGCUAUCACUCCAUUUUGCAACGCCAUGCCAUACCCUAUGGACGGCGCUUAAUUGGAGCCAAUUUCCUCCUACAACAGGACAAUGACCCAAAGCACAGCUCCAAACUAUGCAAGAACUAUUUAGGGAAGAAGCAGUCAGCUGGUUUUCUGUCUAUAAUGGAGUGGCCAGCACAGUCACCGGAUCUCAACCUUGUUGAGCUGUUGUGGGAGCAGCUUGACCGAAUGGUACGUAAAAAGUGCCCGUCAAGCCAAUCCAACUUGUGGGAGGUGCUUCAGGAAGCAUGGGGUGAAAUCUCUUCAGAUUACCUCAGCAAAUUGACAACUAGAAUGCCAAAGGUCUGCAAGGCCGUAAUUGCUGCAAAUGGAGGAUUCUUUGACGAAAGCGAAGUUUGAAGAACACAAUUAUUAUUUCAAUUAAAAAUCAUUAUUUAUAACCUUGUCAAUUUCUUGACUAUGUUUCCUAUUCAUUUUGUAACUAAUUUCAUGUAUGUUUUCAUGGAAAACACAGAUAUUUCUAAGUGACCCCAAACUUGUGAACUGUAGUGUAUAUCAGUGUAUAUACAACAAGUUAUGUCGGCUUAUUUAAACGGUUUUGACGGUCUUCAUCCAUGACCGUCUGUUACACGGUUAUUCAAUUAUCGUCACAGCCCUACUGACUGACUGUCCCUGUAAAAGCAACAUUGUUAUCCAUCAGUGUCUAGAGCAGGUUUGUGUCAGGUUUGUGGGUCUGUUAUAGUGGUAUCUUCAGCUAAUAGCUACAGAUGACAACCACAGCAGCGGUGGUCAGAGCAUAAUCGUUUUGGGGGCACUUGGCAAGAUCAAUAAUAAUAGAAGAAACAUUGAGGAGGUAGUGCUGCCUGUAAUGUCUUCAGCUAGUCAUAGCGAAUGCAGGCAGCCCAUAGAGUGGGGAAACAGCACACUGCGGUCUCAACAGUAUAUCAGCUGAAUCUAAAAGCCUCCAGCAUAAUGACUGUGAAACGUUAGCAUGAGAGAAGGCCACGCAAGCACAAUCACCAGCAAUUAGCCAUCAGCCAUUAGCUUUAUCAUACGCUGCCAAGCAUUGAAACUCAAGCCCUCAUCAAACGCUCGCUUUGAGGCCACGACAGGUAGAAACAAUUACUCACACACGCAAACAUGGAUGGUAUGUGUGGAGGGAACUCUUUUGAAGUGUGUGUGUGUGCGAGCAUAAUGCAUUGGCUCAUGUAAAGAUGCUCCAUCACAUUGAGCAACAGCUUUUGGAAUUGAAAUGGCUCAGUUAACUGAUUUUAAAAUGUGCUCUAUCAAGACAAGGGUGUGAUUUUGGGAGUCCAAUGUAUAAAUCUAGAUCUUAUUUUGUUAAGCACAAUGCAAUGGGAGGAGAGUAGCGAGACAAAUUGUUUAUUGAGGUUUAACUGCAUAUUGAUUACAUACAGUAUUCAUUGAUCCUCCAUUCACCCAUUACUAAUGCAUAUGCAUGAAACAGAAAAUCAAAUUAAACAACUUGUUUUUGGGCAUUUUGCUGUAUUCUGUAACCACAGCUGUGUUUAUGUAGGCUAUGUAUUAUAGAUACAUGCAUGUGAAGCUUCUAAUUGAGUGCUCUGUUGCAGCGCUGCGUUUCUGUGUGUGUGUGUGUGUUUUUGUGGGGUUGAGUUUCCUACAGGCUAGAUCCUAUGCACUAGUUAAACCUAGUGAAACCCAUCACAUUGUGGCUUCAGGGUUCUGUCAUAGGCAGUGCCUGAAGCUAAACCAGCAGCAGGAGGCAGACGACACCAAACUACAGGACUGUUUUACUAUCACAGACUGGAACUUGUUCUGGGAUUCUUCUGAUGACAUUGAGGAAUACACCACAUCAGUACCCCAACCAGAAGCCAUGGAUUACAGGCAACAUUCGUACUGAGCUAAAGGGUAGAGCUGCCGCUUUCAAGGUACGGGACUCUAACCCGGAAGAUUACAAGAUAUCCCGCUAUGCCCUGCGACAAACCAUGAAACAGGCAAAGCGUCAAUACAGGGCUAAGAUUGAAUCAUACUACACCGGCUCCGACGCUCGUCGGGAGUGGCAGGGCUCGCAAACUAUUACAGACUACAAAGCACAGCCGUGAGCUGCCCAGUGACACAAGCCUACCAGACGAGCUAAAUCACUUCUAUGCUCGCUUCGAGGCAAGCAACACUGAGGCAUGCAUGAGAGCAUCAGCUGUUCCAGAUGACUGUGUGAUCACGCUCUCCAUAACCGACGGAUCCCCAUCAAUGUUCCUCCAACUGAUUGGACUCUUGGAAAGCCCUUUGUUAACAUAGAGCUACCCUCCUGGAGCACCCCCGCCAUCUCUGAUCCCUACCUUAGACAG